rnacentral:tRNA from 1 species
GCCAGUGUGAUGUUGUGGUUUGAGUGUUGGACUAUGACUCUGGAGACCAGGGUUCAAAUCCCUGCUCAUCCA